CUCUUCAUUGUCUCUGCUAAGAUUUCAAGGGUAACACUGUAACAAGAGAAAGGAAGAAUGCCAUGGACUUACUAUUCAAGGGUCUUGAGUCUUUUUAGUUAAAAAAAAUGCUUAUUUAUUUGAAAGACUGAUAGAUCAUCCAUCUGCUGGUUCACUCACCAAAUGCUUGCAACAGCUGAGAUUGAGCCAGGCCAAAGCCAGGAGCCCGGAACUCCCAUCUGGGUCUCUCCUCUGGGGAGCAGGGCCCCAAGUACUUGCGCCAACAGCUGCUGCCGUCCAGGGUGCACAGAAGCUGGAAUCUGGAGCGGAGCUGGUGCUUGAAGCCAGGUACUUCCGUGUGAAAUGAGAGGCCGGUGUCCCAAGCAGCGUCUUAACCCCCUGUGCCAAUCAUCUGUGCCAGAUCGGGCUGAGGGAAGUGGGUAGGGAAGGCUCAGCCUCCCAGCCCGGGCCGGACGGCAGGGAGGAGCUCCCGAGCCUCUCCACACAGGGGAGGUCUUGGUUCUCUUGUGGCAGAAACUGGAUUAUUUAAACUGUAAAUAUCGCCUUUGCUCCUGGCUUCUGGAAUAUCCUGCCCUUUUAGCUUCCUCUAACUCUGGCCCGAUUCUCUAGCUUGCUGGGAGGCCUAAGCACUGCCCUUCCCUAAGCUUCAUGCAUUAUCUCGGCGGCACAUGUGUGGAUGUUGUUUUGCCCGUGGUUAUCAGCGUGGAAAACCUGCUCUUACCGUUAGGAGGUUGCUACCGCAGACACAUCAGCUCCCCGCACCUCCGUGUCUGUGGUCUGGGUGAGAGUGCGCGACCUCUUGCUGAGGUCCACCUGUGCUCAGGUUCUGCGGCCUGUGGGCCCUGGGGUUACCCAGGCUACAGCAGCGUGGCAAAGGCUGUGGACAGCCAUGAUGCUGUAGACAAAUUCCUGGACACUCUGGGAAGCAAGGGAAAUUGGCCAGUGCAGCUUAUACCUGCUCACCAUAUCAGACUCCAUCCUGCCUUCUACUCUCCCAGUGACUGAUCUCUUCACAUGUCAGGAGGCCUCAGAUGCAAUCCCGUAUCUUUCUGAUGCUUUGUGAUAUCUUUAUGAUUGACAGGUUUGGAUGUGGGUGGGUCAUGUGCAGACUGGGGACUGAGGAGCACACUGUCCUUGAACAUCAACCAGUGCAGCCUCGGACCGCUGCUUUUUGGGAAAACAGACAAGGGCUAGGAGAGGCCACUUGUUCCUGUUACCUUGCUAAUAGCAGUGCAGCUGUAACCUAGCUAUGAUGGAAGGUCCUGCCUCUGUCUCACAGGGGCUCUGUGGAGGAGGAGAAAGUCUAGCUUGGAUCUUGGUUCCUAGAGGAAGCUGAGAGCCAAGCUUCAUGGCUAGGCAUUUAAGGGGCUUUGGGGCAGCCAGCCUAGCUGGCUAAUGUCAUUACAUUUUAGUUUUCAUGACAUCAAGUCUACUCAGUAUGGAGUUUAUUGUAUGAGCAAAAGACAAAAGAUGAAAUAAAAAUUUCAACUGAAAGUUUUGAUUUGUAGCA
rnacentral:lncRNA from 1 species